rnacentral:rRNA from 1 species
GUAGGUGGCAAGCGUUGUCCGGAAUUAUUGGGCGUAAAGCGCGCGCAGGCGGUUCUUUAAGUCUGAUGUGGAAGCCCACGGCUCAACCGUGGAGGGUCAUUGGAAACUGGAGAACUUGAGUACAGAAGAGGAAAGCGGAAUUCCACGUGUAGCGGUGAAAUGCGUAGAGAUGUGGAGGGACACCAGUGGCGAAGGCGGCUUUCUGGUCUGUAACUGACGCUGAGGCGCGAAAGCGUGGGGAGCAAACAGGGAUUAGAUACCCUGGUAGUCCACGCCGUAAACGAUGAGUGCUAAGUGUUAGGGGGUUUCCGCCCCCUUAGUGCUGCAGCUAACGCAUUAAGCACUCCGCCUGGGGAUACGGCCGCAAGGCUG